AUUGAACGCUGGCGGCAGGCCUAACACAUGCAAGUCGAACGGUAGCACAGAGAGCUUGCCCUCGGGUGACGAGUGGCGGACGGGUGAGUAAUGUCUGGGAAACUGCCCGAUGGAGGGGGAUAACUACUGGAAACGGUAGCUGAUACCGCAUAACGUCGCAAGACCAAAGUGGGGGACCUUCGGGCCUCACACCAUCGGAUGUGCCCAGAUGGGAUUAGCUAGUAGGUGGGGUAAUGGCUCACCUAGGCGACGAUCCCUAGCUGGUCUGAGAGGAUGACCAGCCACACUGGAACUGAGACACGGUCCAGACUCCUACGGGAGGCAGCAGUGGGGAAUAUUGCACAAUGGGCGCAAGCCUGAUGCAGCCAUGCCGCGUGUAUGAAGAAGGCCUUCGGGUUGUAAAGUACUUUCAGCGGGGAGGAAGGCGGUGGAGUUAAUAACUUCACCGAUUGACGUUACCCGCAGAAGAAGCACCGGCUAACUCCGUGCCAGCAGCCGCCGUAA
rnacentral:rRNA from 1 species